GGGCUGCAGGGGCGGCGGCGGCGAGCAGGGCCCUCCAGGAGCCGAUCCUGGGUAGGGCCCCCCCCCUGGAUCCCCAUCCCGUGCGCCCACGCUCGGGAAAUCUGCAGAACCACGUUGUCCGACUCCAGCGCGCAGGGCAGCAGAUCCCUCAACCUCUGACUAGGUCACGUGAACACAGCCGGGCGGGUAGCUGUGCUGUGCUGCGCACUCAGAGGCAAAUCACAAGCUUCCUACCUUGGAGACCGAUGUUGACUCACCACUCGAGAGCCUUCCAAACACCUGAUCUAUUGCUCCUUAGUCAUUUUCCUUUGGAAAGGACGAAUGCAUUGGUAGGUGUGUGUCUCUGAAAGACGGGAAGAUGGAAUUAGAUGGAUGGCAUUUCUAAUGGCUGGCCCACAGGCACUGGACAAUCAAAACUCUGUGGGGGCAGAUCUUGCAUCUCCAGAUCUAAGUGUCACCUCUACCGCCUGCUUCCCCUGCGAUCUUAGGGUUAGUCUAAGGAAUUACUACAGACUCCCCACCUCAAAGACUGGUGAGGAUGUGAACCCUUGAAAUUACAAGAUGGAUUAUUAGCAGUGUUAACAAUAGCUGCAAUUUACUGAGCCCCUACUACGUGUCAGACAAUACAUACAUUAUUUAUAUUA